rnacentral:tRNA from 1 species
AUAAUAGUGGAUUAAUGAACGUUAUGGGACUACAUGAAACAAGAUGACGCAGUAUGAUAUACUGAUUUGUAAUCAGUAGGUCCGCGGUUCGAGUCCGUGUGGGGGCACCA